CUGGCCUUUAAUUAUUUCUAAGAACUACAAUAUUCAGUACGAUCACGUAUCUGAUGCAUGAUGAAUAUAUAUAUGAAAUAUUUUCGCGAUAACAACUAAGUAUAUAGCUGUUUUGCUGAAUGUUACACAUAAUAAUAAACUUCAAUCUCGGUUGGUGAAAACUUGUAAGUGCCAGCCAAAAGUGCUUGGGUAUUACUGUUGCCAUAGCUGUAGCCGGAUGGAGGACGAUAUGUGUAACCAAAAUUUGUAUACGAGUAUCUGUUCUUGUCGGCAUUGUUUGCGAUGUAUAGGUCAUGUCCACCUCCAAAGGUUGGUCCAUAUCCUGGAUGCGUUUUAAUUGCAUACUGGCUAUUUCGAUAAACUGCUGAUCUAAAAGAACUCAAGCCAACCUUGUUGCGGAGGGAAAAGAUGUAGUUGCUCGAGCUUGAUCUGUAAGUGCCACUGGAUCCUAAAACCACAUCCAUGUUAAUAAACGAUAUUCGA